rnacentral:snRNA from 1 species
UUGCUUGUUUCAGCAGCACAUAUACUAAAAAUUUGACAACACAGUGAAGAUUAGAAUGACCUCUGCAUAAGAAUGACCUUGCAACUCAGUGAAGUAUUCCAUAUUUUC